CUGAGCAGGGCCAGUUUCAUUCUGACUGCAGGCUGGGCUGAAAGAUGCUGCUCUAGUAGCCCAUGCAGCUACCUUGGCCAGUCUCCCAGGAACCCCAGAGAUGGCUGUCUCCCCAGUAGGGAUCCCAUGCCACCUGCAAGACAGCAUCACCGCCUUGCUUGGGCCGAAGGAAAUAAUCCUGGUGAAGCCUGUCCAGCUGCAGGUCAAAUCCAAGUAUGAAGACGACAUCUUGGUUUUAACCCCCUGGAGGGCAUAUGUGCUGCAGGUGAUUCUCCCAGUCAGGGUGUGGAGCAGCUUCAGCUUCCUGGAGGUGAGAGAGAUCGCGAUCCAGGAGCCCAGCCUGGUUGUCAUAGAUACAGAUACAGCCUCUUAUGCCUUCCGGCUCAUGUCGCUGGACGAUUUGGAGCAGGUGGUCAGCCAUGUCACCAUGUCGCUUAAGAAGGUCUUUCCAGACUCUUCCCCUGGAAAACUGCUCAAAAACUAUCCCUCCAGUUUGUUCGAGAGAAUUCGAAGGAUAACAAACUCCCUGGAGGAAAUGCUGCAGAAUAAUCAAGGACCGUGUGGUGGGUUUUCGGAGACGUAUGCUGCUUUAUGUGACUACAACGGCUUUACCUUCAGAGAGGAGAUCCAGUGGGAUGUGGACAAUAUCUACCACAGCCAAGACUGCCGAGAGUUCAACCUGUUGGACUUCGCUCACCUAGAGAGCAGAGACGUAGCCCUUAGCAUCACAGCGCUGUCGUUUAACCUGUGGUUCACGAAGCUGUACUGUAAGGACUUCAGGCUGAAUCUGGAGAUUUCCGAACAGCUUCUGUACAUGAUCAGCAAAUCGGUGAAACUGGAGGAGCUGGUGCUGGAAAACAGUGGGUUAAAAUUUGAAUUUGCCCAGAGGAUGGCCCAGGCGUUAAGAGGAAACCCGGACUCAGCUCUAAGCGCCAUCAGCCUGGCUGGCAACCAGCUGGAGGACAGAGGGAUAACUGCAUUCAGCCAGUACAUUGAGAAACGCACCAAGGGCCUGCGCAGCCUGAACUUCUCUAGGACUUCACUGACUGCCAAAGGAGCGAGCACUUUAUGCCAGUCCCUUGCAUCUAAUGGAAUCUUCAGCGCCUCACUUCAGCACCUGGAUCUCUCGGGGAAUCCUGGCAUCCUUACCACGGACGAUGCCAGCAGCUUACACAGCUUCCUCAGCCGCACGAACUCAGUAUCUUACCUCAACCUGGCCGGCACAGACUGUGCUUUGGAUGCACUGUUUGGUGCAUUGGCCCUCGGAUGCUGUGCCAACCUCGCCCACCUGGAUCUCUCCAAAAACGUGUACUCACACAAAAGGCUGAGAGAUGUCCCUCCAGCCAUCAAACUGUUCUUCAGCAAGGCGGCUGCCCUCCGAUACGUCGGCCUGGCAAGUACCAAGCUGCCGCCAGAGGCCGUAAGGGCCUUGCUGCAGGGGUUGGCGUAUAACUCUCAGAUCAGUGACCUGCACCUGGACCUCAGUAGCUGCGAGUUGAGAUCAGCAGGUGCCCAGGUGAUCCAAGAUCUGAUUUUUGAUGCCAAUUCAAUUAGGAAUUUGGAUUUAUCAGACAACGGCUUUGAUGCUGACAUGGUCACAUUGGUGCUAGCGAUUGGCCGAAGCAAAUCCAUUAGGCAUGUCUCCUUAGGAAAGAAUUUUAACAUUAAAUCCAAGGACAAUCUGGCCGACAUUCUCCACCGGAUUGUUCAGCUCACACAGGAAGACGACUGUCCUCUUCAAUCCCUGUCCGUGGCCGAAUCGCGACUGAAAUUGGGAACCAAUGUCCUGCUGAAUGCGCUGGGCAGUAACACCAGCCUCAGCACGCUAGACAUCAGUGGGAACACCAUUGGUGACACUGGAGCCAAGAUGCUGGCCAAAGCCUUGCAGAUCAACACACAACUCAGGACAGUAAUUUGGGACAGAAACAACACCACGGCCCAUGGAUUCCUAGAUGUUGCCCGUGCUUUGGAAAGGAAUUUCACCCUGCGGUCCAUGCCUUUGCCAAUGAGCGACAUGACUCAGGCUUAUCGGAGCAAUCCGGAGAAGACGGAGGAGGCGGUCCACAAGAUGCAGUCUUUCCUGGCGAGGAAUCAGAGGCGGCGGACCCUGCCUAAGCAAACCUUCCGGCUGCAGCAGGGAAUUGUCACCAGCUCCUCGGAACAGAUGGUGAAUGAGAUGUGCACCAGCCUACAGAAGCAUGUUGACAUCCUGAGUGCCUAUCUGGGCCGAGAGGUGGAAGCCAGUGUCCUCUGUGCAGAAGAAGCAAUUCGGGACGCAAACCUGUCCAUCAGUCUUUUGCCACUCCUGUAUGAGACCGGGAACACCCCGUACCAGAACUGCCAACUGCAGCACAAGCUGGAAUGUCUGACUGAAGCAGCCUUGCAGGCCUGCGGCCGGGAGAUCCAGGCUAUUAUGCAGGCUGUGCUGGAUACCACCCAGAAUCUGUGUCCUACAAUUCUGCAGAAGAGUGGCCUUCGGGACCGGCUGGUCCACACGAUCUAUGAGCGAAUCACCCUUCAGGAUCAACUCAGCCUGAGCCGUGUCCUGGACCAGCUGGUCACUGAUGUAUUCAGCAAGCUAACCGAAAUCAGGCUGUCUGUUAUUGCGGCUGUGACCGACGGGCUGAUCCAUGAGGUGCUGGAGGACCUGACAAGUGCUCAGUGCAGACUGGCAGCAGAACUCCCCAAGCAACCUCCAGAUCUUCAUGUGCUACAGACAGACAAUAUUGAGGAAGAUGAUUUUUUGCUAAAGAAGAGCAGGAAUCUGCUGGAUGUUGCUGAGCAAAGCUUUGCAGCUGAGGAGUAUAAGAUGGCUCUGAGGAGGAAGAACAAGCACUUCAGGAGCGUCCGGCCCAUGCCUGCCAUGAGAAGUCUGUCGGAGCUCGAUCUUCAGGCAGAGGCAGAAGAUAACAAGAUUGGAACUCACCAGGCUCUGCUGUCAGUCAGCUGUGCCUCUCUGAAGUCACGCCCUGCCUCCACAAAGGAUGCUGAGACUGGAAGCAGUUUGCUUCCUUUCCCAGAGCCUGCACCCACACAAUUCCUUAUGGACCUGCCAACUGAGGGAGAGAAACUGGAGCACUACACCCGAGCUAGGCCCCGACCCAACCGCAGGAACAAGCAGCCUCCAAGCAAGCCAAAUGUCCAGCCAGCCCCGUCUGAGAAUGACGAGGACAGAAGUAUUACGUGUGUGGAUGAAGGGCUAGAGGAGUUCUUUACCAAGAAGCUGAUCCAAGAGGAACCACUCCCAGCCCCCCGGGGGAUCUCUCCUGGCUCAGCCCCCCUCGUGCCGUCUGGCACCCAGACCUUCAAAAAAAAAAUAGGAAACUUCUUUGCAUUCAAGAAGCCGAAGUCCAGCAGGGGCUGGAAGUGCGAGAAGGAGCUGGAGGGCAGCCCCUUGGCAGCCAAGGGCAGGAAGUCCACUCGCAGUGACAUUUCAAAGCCUCCCAGUAAGGCAGGGGAGCCUGGGAAGGCACUGAGCAAAUCCGAAGAGGGUGGGCUUACCGUGGAGCCCAGGGCCAAUGCAGAGCCCAGCCAGACCCCCGAUGCCGGCCACAGGAUCAGGCCCAAGUACUCCCGAGAGGGCAAGUCACAGUCCCUCAUACUCCUGUCUGGUGAGGAUGAAGAGGUCCUAUCAGCGAAACACGAAAAGAGGCAACCCUUUGAGAAGAGUGACGGAGAGAUCCCCAACUCCUUUGAGCAGCGCGUCCAUGUUAUGCUGCACCGGAUCGGGGUCACCAAAGUCCUGUCCUCCGAGGGGAAGAAGAAGCAGAGUAAAGAAGGAGAGAUCAAAAAAGCUGGUUCAGAUGGAGACAUCAUGGACAGCUCGGCAGACUCCCCUCCCCUUGCCUUGAAAUCUCGCGCACACUCCAUGUCCACAGACCCGUCUGCGCGAAGUGGCCCUGCUGACGCAGCGGGCCGAGCGGCGGUUGAGUCCAGCCGCGGGCCCAGCGAUGUGCGGCUCUCCUGGAAGGCCCUGGGGAAGCAGCUGAAUGCCGAGCUCAAGGGCAAGUGUUCUGAACUCCAUUCUUCCCCCAGGCGCUCCUUUGUCGUUCAAGAGCAGAGCAGCCCCACGGAGCAGCAGGUCCGAGAGAGCUGGAGCAGCAGCUUGCCCAGGACUGGGAGGAGCACGCCUGCCCCUGCACCAAGGAGAAUUAGCAACGCAGGCGCUAGCAGGGACAGCGUAGAUGCAAUCGCUGCAGUGUCUCCUCUUCUUUUCAGACAAUCACCUGAAACCCAAGCCUCGGCUGAAAAAUGUGGCCACCAGGCGCGCUGUUUCCGUUCACGAAGAACAGCUCAGGGAGCAGGGCUGCAUGGCUACUCUGGAGAGUGUAAAAAUCCCCCUGCGCCUGAAGCGCUCGCCAGUCCUGAAACGGAAGCCUAACCCCAACUCCACGGUGGAUGUGGCAGGGAGCAGCACACCCAGCCCCCCGGCAGCACUGAAGGACACUCUGCCACAAGACGAGCACAGGGCCACAGCCGAACUGCAGGGGGAGCGGCCGCAAGCUGUGGAACAACCGGUUGAAAAUGCACAGAACAGCCAUACACCAAAGAGCGGCUCCAGAUCUGCCAGCAGCCCCCCAGGGACAAUGAGUUAGUGGGGGCUGCCGCCUGCUGUCAUUUCCAAUAAAACACUGCGACCGAGUGCA